rnacentral:rRNA from 1 species
CGUCUGGUGAGGAAACCUCCGGGGCAAAUCGAGGCGCUCGCGGCCUAUCAGCUAGUUGGCGGGGUAAUGGCCCACCAAGGCUACGACGGGUAGCUGGUCUGAGAGGAUGGCCAGCCACAUUGGGACUGCGACACGGCCCAGACUCCUACGGGAGGCAGCAGUGGGGAAUAUUGCGCAAUGGACGAAAGUCUGACGCAGCGACGCCGCGUGUGGGAUGAAGCCUUUCGGGGCGUAAACCACUGUUGCCCGGGACGAAACUCCUUUUUCGAGAGGAUUGACGGUACCGGGUGAGGAAGCACCGGCUAACUCUGUGCCAGCAGCCGCGGUAAUACAGAGGGUGCGAGCGUUGGCGUAAAGGGUGCGUA